AGAAGGCCAGUGCCAGCCCCAUAUUUAGAAGCCAGGCUCAGCUCCAAACCCAGCGCGAUUCCCACGGCAAACCUGCUGGAGAACACAGUGCAUUUCUGGGAUCUGACUUGAACACCACAAUCACAAAACUGCGAACGCCAGAGGAGCAAGAUUGUGCAUGUCUGCCCACUGACACCUUAGGACAUCUGCUGCCUGUGCUUUCUGGAACAGCGUUUCUCGGCUGCAUACAGCUAUUGAGUCCUCAAGACUGAGGACUUUUACUUUGAGCACAGUUCCUGAACAUGUGUGGUGGGGUGUGGGAUUCAUGUGUGCCAGUGGAACCAUCCUUCUCCAAGUUCUGUGACCUUCUUCAGCACCUGGGCCUUCCAGCGGUCUGUAAGCACUGAGAAACUCUUCCUCCAAGUGGCUGGCUAGAUGAGAUCUUCAAAGCCACAGCUCAGAGGAGAACCCAGAGAAUUCCUGAGAUCCGGCCAUGGUGGGACUCAGGCAGCUUAUUCACCGGCCCUCUUGGUAAGUGCCUGCGGCGCGGGCCUGGAGGAGAACCAUUACCUAUGAGCCUACUGCCACAAGGACUGAAAAUCAAGCACCCUUCUCCCACCCUCCCCCAGCAUAGCUACUGGGGAUAGAUGUCUUAGCAUCUCUUGGGACGAUGACCAUUUGCAGAAUAGCAAAUAUGGGGGAUUUCCUUCUAUCUUCUGUUUGAAGGCAAAGGUUGUUUUCACUGUUUUGUUUUGUUAUGCUUCUUUUGCUCUAUUCAGUACUCUCUAUUGGUUUUAUAAUGUUCUAUUUUUGGUUGAAUUUUGCUAUACCUAAUUGACUGGACAACUAUUGUGAAGUUAAAGAGAUAUACCAUUAUUACUACUAUCCCAGUACCCUGCUGUGAAAUCCUGUACCAAUUUCAUUGCAUUGUCUUGAUUGGCUUUGUUCUGUCUUGUGCUGUCAUAUUUUUACUAAUUUCAAAAUAAAAUUUUAAAAAUUCA